UACGUAGGGUGCAAGCGUUGUCCGGAAUUAUUGGGCGUAAAGAGCUCGUAGGCGGUCUGUCGCGUCUGCUGUGAAAACUCGGGGCUUAACCCCGGGCCUGCAGUGGGUACGGGCAGACUAGAGUGCGGUAGGGGAGACUGGAAUUCCUGGUGUAGCGGUGAAAUGCGCAGAUAUCAGGAGGAACACCGGUGGCGAAGGCGGUGGGCUGGGCCGGCACUGACGCUGAGGAGCGAAAGCGUGGGGAGCGAACAGG
rnacentral:rRNA from 1 species